rnacentral:rRNA from 1 species
GACGAACGCUGGCGGCGUGCCUAAUACAUGCAAGUAGAACGCACAGUUUAUACCGUAGCUUGCUACACCAUAGACUGUGAGUUGCGAACGGGUGAGUAACGCGUAGGUAACCUGCCUGGUAGCGGGGGAUAACUAUUGGAAACGAUAGCUAAUACCGCAUAAUAUUAAUUAUUGCAUGAUAAUUAAUUGAAAGGUGCAAUUGCACCACUACCAGAUGGACCUGCGUUGUAUUAGCUAGUAGGUGAGGUAACGGCUCACCUAGGCGACGAUACAUAGCCGACCUGGGAGGGUGAUCGGCCACACUGGGACUGAGACACGGCCCAGACUCCUACGGGAGGCAGCAGUAGGGAAUCUUCGGCAAUGGACGAAAGUCUGACCGAGCAACGCCGCGUGAGUGAAGAAGGUUGUCGGAUCGUAAAGCUCUGUUGUAAGAGAAGAACGGGUGUGAGAGUGGAAAGUUCACACUGUGACGGUAUCUUACCAGAAAGGGGCGGCUAACUACGUG